UACGCUGGCGGCACGCCUUAUACAUGCAAGUCGAACGAAGUAGUAAUACUUAGUGGCAGACGGGUGAGUAACAUGUAGGUAUCUACCCUUUGGUGAGGAAUAACACGAGGAAACUUGUGCUAAUACCUCAUAAGUCUUUACGGAGAAAGCUUUAUGCGCCGAAGGAUGAGCCUGCACUUGAUUAGUUUGUUGGUGGGGUAAUGGCCUACCAAGACUUUGAUCUAUAGCUGAUCUGAGAGGAUGAUCAGCCACAUUGGGACUGAGACACGGCCCAAACUCCUACGGGAGGCAGCAGUAGGGAAUAUUGCACAAUGGAGGAAACUCUGAUGCAGCGAUGCCGCGUGAGUGAAGAAGGCCUUUGGGUUGUAAAGCUCUUUCGUCGGGGAAGAAAAUGACUGUACCCGAAUAAGAAGGUCCGGCUAACU
rnacentral:rRNA from 1 species